GGACCAUCAUGUCGGUCGUGCCUCGGUACGUACUGGUAUUGUUGGUUUCUCCCUUCUGACGAACCAUGAUGUCAUUAAUUUGGUGCGCCGGGGAAGCAGGACUGUUACCUUGAAAAAAUUAGAGUGCUUAAAGCAGGCUAUUGCCUGAAUACAUUAGCAUGGAAUAAUGAAAUAGGACGGCAUGGUUCUAUUUUGUUGGUUUCUAGGAUCACCGUA
rnacentral:rRNA from 1 species